AUACUUACCUGGCAGGGGAGAUACCAUGAUCACAAAAGUGGUUUUCCCAGGAUGAAGCUCAUCCAUUGCACUGCAGGUGUACUGACCCCUGCAAUUUCCCCAAAUGCGGGAAACUCAACUGCAUACUUUGUGGUAGUGGGGGGACUACAUUUGCGCUCUCCCCUG